rnacentral:tRNA from 1 species
GACUCUGUGGUGAAGUUCAUGGUGAGUUGCAAGCUCAUUGAUGUGCGCUAAGAGCGUGCCAGGGUCU